rnacentral:tRNA from 1 species
GCGUGCUUGGCCGAGUGGUUGAAGGCAGCGGUCCUGAAAACCGUAGACGAGAAAUUGUCAGCAGGUUCAAAUCCUGCAGCACGCG